rnacentral:rRNA from 1 species
UAUCUGGUUGAUUCUGCCAGUAGUCAUAUGCUUGUCUCAAAGAUUAAACCAUGC